CCUACGGGUGGCAGCAGUAGGGAAUUUUCGGCAAUGGGGGGAACCCUGACCGAGCAACGCCGCGUGAACGAAGAAGGUAUUCGUAAUGUAAAGUUCUUUUAAUAGGGAAGAAAGAGAAAUUGGACGGUACCUGAAGAAUAAGCUCCGGCUAACCAGGUGCCAGCAGCCGCGGUCAUACGUAGGGAGCGAGCGUUAUCCGGGUUAAUUGGGCGUAAAGGGUGGGUAGAGGGAAUAGAAAGUCUUUGGUAAAAAUUCUGGGCUAAACCCAGUAGGGCAAAAGAUACUGCAACGCUAGAGUAUGGCAGAGGCAAGUGGAACGACAGGUGUAGCGGUAAAAUGCGUAGAUAUAUGGAAGAACACCAGUGGCGAAGGCGGCUUGCUGGGUCGUUACUGACAUUGAGGUACGAAAGCGUGGGGAGCAAACAGGAUUAGAUACCCCUGUAGUC
rnacentral:rRNA from 1 species